AGUGAACGCUGGCGGUAGGCCUAACACAUGCAAGUCGAACGGCAGCACAGGAGAGCUUGCUCUCUGGGUGGCGAGUGGCGGACGGGUGAGGAAUACAUCGGAAUCUACCUUUUCGUGGGGGAUAACGUAGGGAAACUUACGCUAAUACCGCAUACGACCUACGGGUGAAAGUGGGGGACCGCAAGGCCUCACGCGAUUAGAUGAGCCGAUGUCCGAUUAGCUAGUUGGCGGGGUAAUGGCCCACCAUGGCGACGAUCGGUAGCUGGUCUGAGAGGAUGAUAAGCCACACUGGAACUGAGACACGGUCCAGACUCCUACGGGAGGCAGCAGUGGGGAAUAUUGGACAAUGGGCGCAAGCCUGAUCCAGCCAUACCGCGUGGGUGAAGAAGGCCUUCGGGUUGUAAAGCCCUUUUGUUGGGAAAGAAAUCCUGUCGAUUAAUACUCGGUGGGGAUGACGGUACCCAAAGAAUAAGCACCGGCUAACUUCGUGCCAGCAGCCGCCGUAACAC
rnacentral:rRNA from 1 species